rnacentral:rRNA from 1 species
UACAGAGGUCCCAAGCGUUGUUCGGAUUCACUGGGCGUAAAGGGUGCGUAGGUGGCCGGUUAAGUCUGACGUGAAAUCUCCGAGCCUAACUCGGAAACUGCAUCGGAAACUAUCCGGCUCGAGGGUUGGAGGGGGGACUGGAAUACUUGGUGUAGCAGUGAAAUGCGUAGAUAUCAGGAGGAACACCGGUGGCGAAGGCGGCUCACUGGCCCGAUACCGACGCUGAGGUGCGAAAGACGUGGGGAGCAAACAGG